rnacentral:rRNA from 2 species
UGCUAAUACAUGCAAGUCGAACGAGUUCUGAUUAUUGAAAGGUGCUUGCAUCUUGAUUUAAUUUUGAACGAGUGGCGGACGGGUGAGUAACACGUGGGUAACCUGCCCUUAAGUGGGGGAUAACAUUUGGAAACAGAUGCUAAUACCGCAUAAAUCCAAGAACCGCAUGGUUCUUGGCUGAAAGAUGGCGUAAGCUAUCGCUUUUGGAUGGACCCGCGGCGUAUUAGCUAGUUGGUGAGGUAACGGCUCACCAAGGCAAUGAUACGUAGCCGAACUGAGAGGUUGAUCGGCCACAUUGGGACUGAGACACGGCCCAAACUCCUACGGGAGGCAGCAGUAGGGAAUCUUCCACAAUGGACGCAAGUCUGAUGGAGCAACGCCGCGUGAGUGAAGAAGGCUUUCGGGUCGUAAAACUCUGUUGUUGGAGAAGAAUGGUCGGCAGAGUAACUGUUGUCGGCGUGACGGUAUCCAACCAGAAAGCCACGGCUAACUACGUGCCAGCAGCCGCGGUAAUACGUAGGUGGCAAGCGUUAUCCGGAUUUAUUGGGCGUAAAGCGAGCGCAGGCGGUUUUUUAAGUCUGAUGUGAAAGCCCUCGGCUUAACCGAGGAAGUGCAUCGGAAACUGGGAAACUUGAGUGCAGAAGAGGACAGUGGAACUCCAUGUGUAGCGGUGAAAUGCGUAGAUAUAUGGAAGAACACCAGUGGCGAAGGCGGCUGUCUGGUCUGUAACUGACGCUGAGGCUCGAAAGCAUGGGUAGCGAACAGGAUUAGAUACCCUGGUAGUCCAUGCCGUAAACGAUGAAUGCUAGGUGUUGGAGGGUUUCCGCCCUUCAGUGCCGCAGCUAACGCAUUAAGCAUUCCGCCUGGGGAGUACGACCGCAAGGUUGAAACUCAAAGGAAUUGACGGGGGCCCGCACAAGCGGUGGAGCAUGUGGUUUAAUUCGAAGCAACGCGAAGAACCUUACCAGGUCUUGACAUCUUUUGAUCACCUGAGAGAUCAGGUUUCCCCUUCGGGGGCAAAAUGACAGGUGGUGCAUGGUUGUCGUCAGCUCGUGUCGUGAGAUGUUGGGUUAAGUCCCGCAACGAGCGCAACCCUUAUGACUAGUUGCCAGCAUUUAGUUGGGCACUCUAGUAAGACUGCCGGUGACAAACCGGAGGAAGGUGGGGAUGACGUCAAAUCAUCAUGCCCCUUAUGACCUGGGCUACACACGUGCUACAAUGGAUGGUACAACGAGUUGCGAGACCGCGAGGUCAAGCUAAUCUCUUAAAGCCAUUCUCAGUUCGGACUGUAGGCUGCAACUCGCCUACACGAAGUCGGAAUCGCUAGUAAUCGCGGAUCAGCACGCCGCGGUGAAUACGUUCCCGGGCCUUGUACACACCGCCCGUCACACCAUGAGAGUUUGUAACACCCGAAGCCGGUGGC